rnacentral:rRNA from 1 species
AACGAACGCUGGCGGCAUGCCUAACACAUGCAAGUCGAACGAGACCUUCGGGUCUAGUGGCGCACGGGUGCGUAACGCGUGGGAACCUGCCCUUAGGUUCGGAAUAACUCCCCGAAAGGGGUGCUAAUACCGGAUAAUGUCUUCGGACCAAAGAUUUAUCGCCUUUGGAUGGGCCCGCGUUGGAUUAGCUAGUUGGUAGGGUAAAAGCCUACCAAGGCGACGAUCCAUAGCUGGUCUGAGAGGAUGAUCAGCCACACUGGGACUGAGACACGGCCCAGACUCCUACGGGAGGCAGCAGUGGGGAAUAUUGGACAAUGGGCGAACGCCUGAUCCAGCAAUGCCGCGUGAGUGAUGAAGGCCUUAGGGUUGUAAAGCUCUUUUACCCGGGAUGAUAAUGACAGUACCGGGAGAAUAAGCUCCGGCUAACUCCGUG